rnacentral:misc_RNA from 1 species
UUAUUAAUAUUUUUCAACUGUAGUCGAUAAGUCAAGUUGAUUUUACGUCGCGGUAUAAGAUUAAAAUGGUGGAAAUUUUGAUUUUGAAAUUAUUCUCCAAUUUUUUUCGUGAUCGAACAAGCAAAAGAAUCUACUAUCAAGUCAAGGUGAUCGUCAAUCUUACUCGGCUGUGAUUGAUCAGUAAUAAAAUAUAAAAACUUAUUAGUCUUUCACAACAAUUUUGAUACCGAAUUAGUGCGUGAAUAAUAGAAGGAUUCUUCCCAUGACGUUCUCAUGGUAUCUUUCAUUUUUAUCACGAUAACCGUGAAGUUGCGGUUCCUGCUUCUACCUGUUGUCACUACUGGCGUGAGUCAUAAGAGUACGAUGUUUGUCAAGUCAUAUCUUUAAUCAACGAAUGAACAUAAUUGAAUACAAGAGUUGAUAAGUUCUCAGUUUCUUUGUAUACUCACUUUUUUGUCAAUUAUAAACUCAACGGUGUUCUGCUAUUCUAAGCGGCAUUCGAUACAAUUAUAAACGUUCUUCAUUUUUCAAUAAUAAUUGUGUAGUGUAGGUACUCGGAGCAACACACCUUUUGCAUUAGCAAUGAAUAUGAUGGAACAUGAGAAGGUUGAACAACUCCAAGGUUCCAAUGAGCAAGUUAAAAGAGAUCAAACUGUCAAAGUUAUUCAAAGAUAUUGUCGGGAUGUGAGGAUGCGUCUGGAUAAAUAUUUGGAAGAAUGGAAUUUGUACGAGAACGUUAAUGUUGCAGCGAAAUAUUUAUUAUCCAGGCCAUUGUUGUUGGCUGCUGUUAUUGCUGUGACUGCAGCAAUUGGUAUACCAGUGGUCUGCUUCACAUUAUUUGCAAUAAUUACCAUUGCCUGUACAUUCACAGGAUUCAUUCUCAUCGAAGGAUCAAUAUUGGCAGUUGGAACUCUUGUACUGUGCGGAGUUCUGCUGUCCAUUGUAACUACAAUUGUGAUGAUAGCAGCAUGCUUAGCAAUAGCCUAUUACAUAUCCCUUAGAGUAUAUGCUAUUUUCAAGGGAUUAUAAGAAACUGGCAAAAACCAAUCAAUUAAUUAUGAUUAAAAGUACAACUACAGAAGAGCAGACAUCAAUAUUUGGAGCCGUGGUGCUUUUUUUGAAUGAACAUACGACUAUUUAGCUUGGCGUCGACCCAUUCAUGUGUUGGAUACAUUUUCUUUAUCUUCAUGAUCGUCUUUGUUGAAUUUUUCUGUGGACCGCUCAAUUUCUCUC